rnacentral:rRNA from 1 species
UAUCAAUAAGCGGAGGAAAAGAAACUAACAAGGAUUCCCCUAGUAACGGCGAGUGAAGCGGGAACGGCUCAAAUUUGUAAUCUGGCGGUCCACGGCCGUCCGAGUUGUAAUCUGGAGAAGCGUUUUCAGCGCCGGCCCGCGUACAAGUCCCCUGGAACGGGGCGUCGCAGAGGGUGAGAAUCCCGUCUCUGACGCGGUUCGUGCCGGCGCGUUGCGAUGCGCUCUCGAAGAGUCGAGUUGUUUGGGAAUGCAGCUCAAAACGGGUGGUAAAUUCCAUCUAAAGCUAAAUACUGGCGAAAGACCGAUAGCGAACAAGUACCGUGAGGGAAAGAUGAAAAGCACUUUGGAAAGAGAGUCAAACAGUACGUGAAAUUGUUGAAAGGGAAACGCUCCAAGUCAGUCGCGUCCGCCGGGACUCAGUCGCCCCUCUCGAGGAGCGACGUACUUCCCGGGUCGGGACGGGCCAGCGUCGAUUUCGACCGUCGUACAAAGGCGCGAGGAACGUGGCACCUUCGGGUGUGUUAUAGCCUCGCGUUCCGCAUGCGACGGUGGGGAUCGAGGAUCGCAGCGCGCCUCCAACGGUCGGGGUUCGCCCACGUAACGCGCUUGGGACGCUGGCUUAAUGGCUUCGAGCGACCCGUCUUG